rnacentral:rRNA from 1 species
UACGUAGGGUCCGAGCGUUGUCCGGAAUUACUGGGCGUAAAGAGCUCGUAGGUGGUUUGUCGCGUUGUUCGUGAAAACUCACAGCUCAACUGUGGGCGUGCGGGCGAUACGGGCAGACUAGAGUACUGCAGGGGAGACUGGAAUUCCUGGUGUAGCGGUGGAAUGCGCAGAUAUCAGGAGGAACACCGGUGGCGAAGGCGGGUCUCUGGGCGAGUA